rnacentral:rRNA from 1 species
AGUGAACGCUGGCGGCGGGCCUAACACAUGCAAGUCGAACGGAAGCACAGUAAGAGCUUGCUCUUACGGGUGGCGAGUGGCGGAUGGGUGACGCAUACAUCGGAACCUUCUUUUUCGUGGGGGACAACGUGGGGACACUUACGAUAAUACCGCAUACGCACUACGGGUGGAUGCAGGGGCUACUGGGGGCUUGCCCGCUUGUAUGAGACGAGGUCGGGUUAGCUAGUUGGCGGGGUAAAGGCCCACCAAGGCGACGAUCCGUUGCUGGUCUGAGAGGAUGAUCAGCCACACUGGGACUGAGACACGGUCCAGACUCCUACGGGAGGCAGCAGUAGGGAAGAUUGGACAAUGGGCGCAAGCCUGAUCGAGCCAUACCGCGUGAGUGAAGAAGGGCUUCGGGUUGUAAAACCCUUUUAUUGGGGAAGAAAAUCAGCGGGUUAAUACGUGGCUGUUUUGACGGUACCCAAAGAGUAAGCAACGGCUAACUUCGUG